rnacentral:rRNA from 1 species
GACGAACGCUGGCGGCGUGCCUAACACAUGCAAGUGGAGCGACGAACCAGACUUCGGUCUGGGGCCAAGCCGCGAACGGGUGAGUAACACGUGGGUAACCUGCCCCGAUGAUCGGGACAACCCGGGGAAACCCGGGCUAAUACCGAACGUGGUCGCGGUCCGUGAGGACCGUUACGAAAGGAAGCUUCGGCCUCCCGAUCGGGCUGGGCCCGCGGCCCAUUACCUUGUUGGGGGGGUAAUGGACUACCAAGGCAUCGAUGGGUAGCUGGUCUGAGAGGACGCUCAGCCACACUGGGACUGAGACACGUCCCAGACUCCUACGGGAGGCAGCAGUGGGGAAUCUUGCGCAAUGCGCGAAAGCGUGACGCAGCAACGCCGCGUGGGGGAAGAAGGCUCUCGGGUCGUAAACCCCUUUCAGUUGGGACGAAGCUUCGCCGGUGAAUAGCCGGCCGGAGUGACGGUACCUUCACAAGAAGCCCCGGCUAACUACGUGCCAGCCGCCGCCGUAAAAC